GAUCCGGCUGUGCCCCCGCCCAGCUGGGGGCUGAGGAAUCCGGUGGGAUCCUUGCAGGGAUCCACCCCGGCCGUUAGUGGGACCAACUGGGAGUUGGGGUCGCAGCGGCCGGAGGCAUCUGGGGCCAAAGCAGGGGAGGGGGGUGUCAGCGGCUCCCAGUCCAUCCCAGUCAAUCCCAGUAACCCCCCAUCUCCAUCCCGUCCAUCCCUGUCCCUCCCACUUCCCCCCCAGUCCCUUCAGUCUCCAUUCCAGUCCCUCCCAGUCCCUCCCAGUUUCCAUCCCAGUCCCUCCCAAUCCAUUCCAGUCGCUCCCAAUCCAUCCCAGUCACUCCCAAUCCAUCCCAGUCACUCCCAGUCCAUCCCAGUCUCUGUCCCAGUUCCCCACAAGCUCCUUUCCCUCCCUCAAGUCUUCCUCCCAGUUUCCCCAGUCCUCUCCAAUCCCCCUCCAGCCUCCAUCCCAGUCAAUCCCAGUCAUCCUAAUCUCCAUCCCAAUCCCUCCCAGUAUAUCCCAGUUCCCAUCCCAGUCCCCUGGGUGGGAAGGGGAACCCAGUCUCCAUCCCAGUCCCUCCCAGUAUAUCCCAGUAUAUCCCAGUUGCCAUCCCAGUCCCUCCCAGUGUAUCCCAGUCCCCAUCCCAGUCCCCUGGGUGGGAAGGGGCACCCAGUCUCCAUCCCAGUCCCUCCCAGUAUAUCCCAGUAUAUCCCAGUUGCCAUCCCAGUCCCUCCCAGUGUAUCCCAGUCCCCAUCCCAGUCCCCUGGGUGGGAAAGGGGCACCCAGUCUCCAUCCCAGUCUCCAUCCCAGUCCCUCCCAGUAUAUCCCAGUAUAUCCCAGUCCUCAUCCCAGUCCUCUGGGUGGGAAAGGGGCACCCAGUCUCCAUCCCAGUCCCCAUCCCAGUCCCUCCCAGUAUAUCCCAGUCUCCAUCCCAGUCCCCAUCCAGGUCCCCUGGGUGGGAAGGGGCACCCAGUCUCCAUCCCAGUCCCCAUCCCAGUCCCUCCCAGUAUAUCCCAGCUCCAACAUUGUCCUCAGAGUGGGAAGGGGAACCCAAUAUCCACUAUAUCCAUCCCAGUCCCCAUCCCAGUCCCUCCCAGUAUAUCCCAGUCCCCAUCCCGGUCCCCUGGGUGGGAAGGGGCACCCAGUCCCCAUCCCAGUCCCUCCCAGUAUAUCCCAGUCCCCAUCCCAGUCCCCUGGGUGGAAGAGGAACCCAUUCUCCAUCCCAGUCUCCAUCCCAGUCCAUCCCAGUAUAUCCCAGUCCUCAUCCCAGUGCCUGGGUGGGAAGGGGCACCCAGCUUCCAUCCCAGUCUCCAUCCCAGUCCCUCCCAUUCCCUCCCAGUAUAUCCCAGUCCCCUAGGUGGGAAGGGGCACCCAGUCUCCAUCCCAAUCCCUCCCAGUCUCCAUCCCAGUCCCUCCCAGUAUAUCCCAGUCCCCAUCCAGGUCCCCUGGGUGGGAAGGGGCACCCAGUCUCCAUCCCAGUCCCUCCCAGUAUAUCCCAGUCCCCAUCCAGGUCCCCUGGGUGGGAAGGGGCACCCAGUCUCCAUCCCAGUCCCUCCCAGUAUAUCCCAAUCCCCAUCCAGGUGCCCGGGGUGGGAAGGGGAACCUCCCUUGGGUGGGAAGGGGCACCCGGUCCCCAUCCCAGUCCCUCCCAGUAUGUCCCAG
rnacentral:lncRNA from 1 species